ACGUAGGGGGCAAGCGUUAUCCGGAUUUACUGGGUGCAAAGGGAGCGUAGACGGCACAGCAAGUCUGAAGUGAAAUCCCCGGGCUCAACCCGGGAACUGCUUUGGAAACUGUUGGGCUGGAGUGUUGGAGAGGCAAGCGGAAUUCCUAGUGUAGCGGUGAAAUGCGUAGAUAUUAGGAGGAACACCAGUGGCGAAGGCGGCUUGCUGGACAAUCACUGACGUUGAGGCUCGAAAGCGUGGGGAGCAAACAG
rnacentral:rRNA from 1 species